GUGAACCUGCGGAAGGAUCAUUAACGCGCAGGCCGGAGGCUGGCCCCCCACGAUAGGAAUCAACGUUCCAUCAGGGGUGUGCAGAUGUGCGCCGGCCUUACGCCCCAUUCUUGUCUACCUUACUCGGUUGCCUCGGCGGGCCGCGCUCUCCUGGGAGAGUCGUCCGGCGAGCCUCUUUGGGGGCUUUAGCUGGAUCGCGCCCGCCGGAGGACAGACAUCAAAAAAUCUUGGAAAGCUGUCAGUCUGAGCGUUAGCAAGUAAAAUUAGUUAAAACUUUCAACAACGGAUCUCUUGGUUCCGGCAUCGAUGAAGAACGCAGCGAAAUGCGAUAAGUAAUGUGAAUUGCAGAAUUCCGUGAAUCAUCGAAUCUUUGAACGCACAUUGCGCCCUCUGGUAUUCCGGGGGGCAUGCCUGUUCGAGCGUCAUUUCAACCCCUCAAGCCCGGCUUGUGUGAUGGACGACCGUCCGACCUCCUCUUUCGGGGGCGGGACGCGCCCGAAAAGCAGUGGCCAGGCCGCGAUUCCGGCUUCCUGGGCGAAUGGGCAGUCAAACCAGCGCCCUCAGGACCGGCCGCUCUGGCCUUCCCCCAAAUCUCUCUGAGAUAUUUUUUCAGGUUGACCUCGGAUCAGGUAGGGAUACCCGCUGAACUUAAGCAUAUCAAUAAGCGGAGGAAAAGAAACCAACAGGGAUUGCCCCAGUAACGGCGAGUGAAGCGGCAAGAGCUCAAAUUUGAAAUCUGGCCUCCUCCGGGGGUCCGAGUUGUAAUUUGCAGAGGAUGCUUCGGGUGCGGCCCCCGUCUAAGUUCCUUGGAACAGGACGUCAGAGAGGGUGAGAAUCCCGUCUUGGGCGGGCGGCCCGCGCCCGUGUGAAGCUCCUUCGACGAGUCGAGUUGUUUGGGAAUGCAGCUCUAAGCGGGUGGUAAAUUUCAUCUAAAGCUAAAUAUUGGCCGGAGACCGAUAGCGCACAAGUAGAGUGAUCGAAAGGUUAAAAGCACCUUGAAAAGGGAGUUAAACAGCACGUGAAAUUGUUGAAAGGGAAGCGCUUGCGGCCAGACUC
rnacentral:sRNA from 1 species